rnacentral:lncRNA from 1 species
AUGGCUGAGCAAGAGGCAGAGACCAGAAGUUCAGAAUGGCAGGAAAGGCGCAGAGCAGAGGAGAGGGACAGAGGACCUGUGAGUGGAUGGAUUGAUCACCACAUGCCUCUGUCACACUGCUGCUCACCUCCACACAGUGAAGGCUUCUGUCAGACGGAUGACAAGGCAAAAGGUAAAAACAUUAACCUGAUGGAUUAUUGCAGAUCUGAGAAAUGAGCACACAAACAAAUGGACAACAUUGCUUACAGGCA